rnacentral:tRNA from 1 species
GCUUUCAUAGCUCUCAGUUGGUUAGAGCACCCGUUUAGUAAGCGGGAGGUCUUGAGUUCAACUAUCAAUGAAAGCA